CAAUAACAUAAUUGAAACUGAUAACUGAAGUAUCAUAUUUUGUUGGUCUGCAACUUCAUCUUUUAUACUCUUUAGUCAGUUGCAACGUAGAAUUAUAUGAAUUUAUAGGACGGACCAUUUCAGGUCAAGUACUAUGAACUUUGACAUGACAUUGUGAGCUACCUUUAUUAGACCUGACGUCUGGGAUCAUUUUUAAUAUAGUUUAAACAUAGUUUAAUAGUUUAGAUUAAUUUUGCACUGUUUUUAUGAUGUGUUUAGGUGGAGUAUGUGUGAUCAUGCCAAAGGAGGGAAGGAAAGUCAUGUACUUACUAGUUCGUGGAAGUUCAUUCAAGUGACCGGAAUUUCGAAAGAUGCAAGACAUCAUUCUACAUCCAUUCCGCAAUAUAAAAGUCUGAACAUGUUUAUAUGUAUAUUUUAGGGGACAGUUUUUAUUAAAUUCAACUAAUAUAGCUACUUAAAGUGCAAAUAAACAGAAUUACUAAUCAAUGACCUGGAAAUGAAACAUUAACUAGGCUUAAAGGCAUUUUGUAUAAUGAAUACAAUCUGUGAUCUGAGAUAGCUUUAUUCCUUACCUAAUAUGUGAAUAAAACUAUACACCUGUAA